rnacentral:misc_RNA from 1 species
UCCUUUUCCUUUUCAUCGACGGAGUGAAUGACGAGAAAUCGCUAUCCAGUUUGAAAUCUGUUUAUUUUAAUUCUUUAUUGUUAAAUUUACCCACCCGCCCACACCCUUUUUUACUACAGUAACUGAUAUAAAUAUAUAAAGAGACUAUACAUAGACAUGUAUAUUCCCACUAGAUAUGAUUGUGAAUGUUAAUCUGUCAAUGUAUUUCUGGGACGGUAUUUGGCUGUUUAUUAAUUAUGCUUUCAGUUCUUGCCACUUCCAAUAACCAAUAUCAAACGAUUUCGUCAUGGCGCACUACAAUGAGGUUGAUCCAGCCAGCUUGUAUCCAAAAAGAUCACGCACCAGCAGCCUGAAUGUUGUGACUUCCAUGAUUCCUUUUCAAUGGUUUGUGCCGACCUCGAGCAGGGAUUUAUAUCGUUUUAUGACUGUAUAAAGAUUAGCCCAAUCUUGCAGCCAUAUUGGUGGCCUCCUAUUCCAUUUGCACUAUCUCCAUUUACACGAGGUUUUGAAAUCAGAUAGUGCUACCUCAAAACAAUAUAUGUGGAACGUACCGAGACCAAUAACGAUGGACCCUAAGCCCCUUAAGGAGUGGAAUUUUGCCAAGUCAAAACUGCAAGAGAGUGGUGAGAUUGAGCACAGCACCACAGAUGGAAGAAAGUUGGAUUUUGAUCCGCAUCAUCCAACACAGUGAAAAUUCAUUAUCUGCCACUCUCUUGAGCAGCUGAAAUUGCUCAAAACCUUAUUUCCCAAUACUGGCAUGGGCCACUUGUGGAAUAGUCCGGAUGAAAGCCCAGGGUUUGAAUCUGAAGUGGAGGUAGAGUCAACAAAGGACCCGAGGGAAAAGGCGACGAAAGCUCUAAAUUGUACAAGAGUCAACAACUUUAUUAUCAUCCUCAAAGCACAUUUAUUGAACAAGUUUAUGAACUUUUUUAGGUACACGAGCUAGCAGGACAAGCUGGGUUCUGCUUCGAAAUUACCAACGAAGGGCCUAGACUAAAGAAAAGUCAUCAAUAUUAUGCCCAAAUCCAAGGGGAAAUGGCAAUAAUGGGAUGUUCAUGGGGAGAUUUUGUUGUAUGGACCGCUGCCAGCCAAAGCAACUGCUUUGUUGAAAGAAUCAAUGUCACAAAUCAGUAUCUACCGAUAUUAUAUAUUUGUUUUCUUUACAUAUUAGUAUCCUGUAGGGAUCCUCUUAAACGUUCCUGUGUAACUAGUUUUAUGCCCGUAGUGUACCUCUCUGGACACGGUGUCAGCUACAGUACGUAUUGGUCAGUUCUUUUCUAUUGUUUGAUUACUUUAUUUACUUUAUUGGCAGACAGUGGCCACGUUUUCUACAUGACAGGUAUGAGCAGCUAAGGUUUUGAGUAACCCUUUCUCCUGUUAGAGGCAAGUUAAACUAUUUUAUACUUUUGUAAUUUAACUACGGCUCAGUCUUUUUACAUUACUGUGGAGUUUGUAUUAAGUAUUUUUUGUUACUUUUGAUAUACUGGUUUUACGAGGUAGAACUGUUAAACAUAGGUGCUUGCUCGCGCGUGUUCUUGUGUGGUCACGUGUCGAGUGUGUGUUUUUUAUAUUGGGAUAUAAAUGCAUGAUAUACUUGUAUUUUGCCGUGUAGUUCGGUGUACUUGUAUCUUGUCCGUGUAGUACGGAGUAUUUGUAUAUCGUUUUGACGUGGUUUUUCUGUGUUAAGUAGUGUGAUACUCUUAACGUUAUGCAGUGAUCGUAUUUGCUGUGGUUUCGUGAUAAUGUAUGGAGUGCUGUUGUUGCCAUAAUGUUAUAUUUAAGUCCGUGCGACUUAGCAUAUGUUAAUGUAAGGUAUAUUAAUCAUGUAACUCAAAAUAUGUUUAUUUGUUUAAUUUAAUAAGGUCCCGAUCCAGUUUCUGGCAGUCCAUCGCCGUGGUUAUACCUGUCCGCCACUGUCUCACGCCAUGCCAUAUCUACCCACUCCUAUUCUACAUGCCCGUGAUGGAGACUUGGGACAACAUAAAACUUAAACAUUUUAUUGUUCUUGUUAUGUAUAAAUUAUGUAUAUU